ACGAACGCUGGCGGCGUGCUUAACACCUGCAAGUCGAACGGAAAGGCCCUGCUUUUGUGGGGUGCUCGAGUGGCGAACGGGUGAGUAACACGUGAGUAACCUGCCCUUGACUUUGGGAUAACUUCAGGAAACUGGGGCUAAUACCGGAUAGGAGCUCCUGCUGCAUGGUGGGGGUUGGAAAGUUUCGGCGGUUGGGGAUGGACUCGCGGCUUAUCAGCUUGUUGGUGGGGUAGUGGCUUACCAAGGCUUUGACGGGUAGCCGGCCUGAGAGGGUGACCGGCCACAUGGGGACUGAGAUACGGCCCAGAGUCCUACGGGAGGCAGCAGUGUGGAAUAUUGCACGAUGGGCGGAAGCCUGAUGCAGCAACGCCGCGUGCGGGAUGACGGCCUUCGGGUUGUAAACCGCUUUCGCCGGUGACGAAGCGUGAGUGACGGUAAUGGGUAAAGAAGCACCGGCUAACUACGUG
rnacentral:rRNA from 1 species